CAUCACCGAGUUUGAUUAUGGGGCUCAGAAUCAUUCAGCAGAGCAUUUUUAUACUCCUCUUAACACAAGGUUUUUGCAGUGCUGAGAUCAGACUGGACCAGUCUCCUGCUGUGGUAAAGAGACCUGGAGAAACUGUGAAGAUCUCUUGUAAGAUAAGUGGAUAUUCAAUGACAAGCAACAACAUGCACUGGAUACGACAGAAACCAGGGAAAGCUCUGGAAUGGCUUGGAUGGAUGGAUACAGGCAAUAAUCGAGGAACAUAUGCAGAAUCUGUGAAGAACCAGCUCACCUUUACAGAAGACGUCUCAGCAAGUACACAGUACUUAGAGACCAAGAGUCUGAGGACAGAGGACACUGCAGUUUAUUACUGCACUAGAGAACCACAUCUGACCUCGUCUCCUGAUGAGGUUAAAUCUCCCGGAGCCUCCGUGAAGUUGUCCUGUCAGAUUUCUGGCUAUGCCCUCACUAGCUAUGGAACAGUCUGGAUCAAGCAAGCUCCAGGAAAAGCCUUCGAGUGGAUCGGGAUCAUAUGGGGUGAUGGAAGCAUAAACUAUGGAGCUUCCUUUAAAACUCGUUUCAGCAUCUCCAGAGACACGAGCAACAAUGUGCUUUACUUAGAUAUCAGCAGCCUGGUGUCAGAGGACACGGCUGUUUACUACUGUGCAAAGACAGACACAGCUGUACAGCUCAGUGCUAGAGGUGUACAAAAACAUCAACAUCAGUAA